rnacentral:rRNA from 1 species
GAUGAACGCUGGCGGCGUGCCUAAUACAUGCAAGUCGAGCGAACAGAUGAGGAGCUUGCUCCUCUGACGUUAGCGGCGGACGGGUGAGUAACACGUGGAUAACCUACCUAUAAGACUGGGAUAACUUCGGGAAACCGGAGCUAAUACCGGAUAAUAUAUUGAACCGCAUGGUUCAAUAGUGAAAGACGGUUUUGCUGUCACUUAUAGAUGGAUCCGCGCCGCAUUAGCUAGUUGGUAAGGUAACGGCUUACCAAGGCAACGAUGCGUAGCCGACCUGAGAGGGUGAUCGGCCACACUGGAACUGAGACACGGGCCAGACUCCUACGGGAGGCAGCAGUAGGGAAUCUUCCGCAAUGGGCGAAAGCCUGACGGAGCAACGCCGCGUGAGUGAUGAAGGUCUUCGGAUCGUAAAACUCUGUUAUUAGGGAAGAACAAAUGUGUAAGUAACUAUGCACGUCUUGACGGUACCUAAGCAGAAAGCCACGGCUAACUACGU